UUUGAAUUGUUAAAUUGUGAUACCUGGAAGGUACUGAAAUCUCACUCCUAUCAUUCUCUUCAGCACAAACUAAUCUUUCCAAGAAAAAGAGAGAAGAAACAAUGCUCAACCUAAUGGAGAUGCAUGCAAACAAACCUUUGAAUAUAAGAUAUACAAAGAUGCAAAUUAUUAUGCCAAAAAAUAUGGAAGGAUACGUAACAGGUAGACCAAUAACUACUAGCCAACAAAACUAUCAAACUUUCAAAAAAAAAGGCCACUAGAAUAAAGCAUGGUUAAUGUUAAGUCAGAUGCUUACGCUUAUGAUAUUUGGUGUGCUGAUAGCUGUCUUCCAUAAUUCAGUUUCCACAUGCAGAUACCCAGAAAUAAAUUGAAUAAGAUAUUUCAAUAAUGAUGCAACAAAUGCUAAAAAAAUAAAAAAAAUGUAACAACAAUACGGGCCAAACUUGGAACAUUACAUUAUUACUUGAUUGAUCAUUUUGUCAAAAAGUACAUAGUUUUACUUGUUCACCAGAUUGUAAAUCAUCUAUUAAUUAAGUAAAGGAGACAGUAUGGCAUAGCUGCCAACAGUAUAGCUACACUUGCAAGAAAAAAAAAGUUAAAUAAUGAUAAACAAUUAACCUAAUACUUCUGAAAGACCUCGGGUUUACAUAAAGACAAGUAGCAAGAUAAUAUCACAAAGCUGGCACCGUUACCAAUCAUUGUUUCAAUUUUUUUCCUCACACUUUCCAUCUGUACUCUGUUAACAUCCUCUACUCUGACUGUCAAAGCUUUAGAUGUAAGAGAUGGUUACUCCUCAGAACUCUUUCACAUAAAGUUAUACAUGGCAACAGGCAUCUCCAGAAAUGUUCUCCAUAUAUGUCAGAAGCUAGCAACGCAAGUUAAUGUGGCUGAAGUAUAUUCUUGCAAAUUAUGUGAGGCUGAGAUUUGCUUGCUGGAUGUACGG
rnacentral:lncRNA from 1 species